UGGACAGAGUCAUAUGGGACGAGGAGCAAGGGGCUAUUCGGGAUCAUCCCAGUCUCUUUCUAACGCUCUGAACAGACAGAACCAGCUUAUGCAGGGAGGAGGAGCCUUUGGCCGCCGCUACUAACCUCACACACAGUAACAGACUGUAGAGGUCUAGGUCCGGGUUUUGUACAGUUUUGUUUUAUAAGAAUAACACAAUUGAAUUGUUUUGUUUUUACUCCUGAUUUUGUUUUGCUGCCGAGUGUGUUCUACUUGGUGUACAGUCAUACAGUGCACAUGUCCCCUCAUUAGGAGCAGGCUAAUUAAAGUCUCAUUAUUUUCAUGUGGUUGUCUUGGUAUACGGACCUCACCCAGACUCACCUGGGCCACACUUGCUGAAGCCGUAUUUAAUUUUGGUACAACCUUUUGUUAAUAUGCUCAUAUUGUUAGUUAAGCAGACUUGUGUCUUUUGUUAUUUGAUCUUAAAUGGUAUUUGCAAGGUUUUUAAGGUUAAGUCUGUCUUUCACAUUAUUGAACAUAAACUGAAUGAGUACAUGUUCCCUGCUUCACUUUACUGUAAUAAAGUAACUUCAAAGUCUU